rnacentral:lncRNA from 1 species
UACGGCCCCCACUGCAGACCCCAGAUCCCGCCAGUCCCCGGACUCCUCCCGGCGCCCCAGGUUUCCACGGCCGCCUGCAGCUCCUCGGCUGAGGCUGCGCUUCGUAGGGGCUGCCGGGCUCCGGGACGCAGUCCUGCAGUCUUUUUCUGACUGCAGGACUGACUGCAAGACUUUCUGACUGCAAGACUGCAGGACUGCAGUCUUUUUCACCACCAUUCCUGUGGCCAGUGCCCUGUUGCACACUUGAGCUGCUUCUGAUUUUUUCUUCCUUUUUUUUUUUUUUUUUUUUGCUGUUCAAACAGGACUUCAGGAAUAACCGUGGAAGCGAUAUCUUCCCUGUUCUUAGUAACUGCAGUAGUGUCUCUGAGGAGAGGAGAUCUGGAUACAGAUACACACAGAGAGAAGAUGAUAAGGAGACCCAGGAGGAAGGCGGCCAUCUACAAGCCAAGGAGAGAGAAUGCAGAAGAAACCAAUCCUGUCAACACCUUCAACCUAGCCUCCAGCAUUGUGCAGGAAUAAAUUUCUGUUGUUUA